UUAACUUUAUAAUAGUGGUAGCGCGCCAGACUUCUAUUUAUACAUCAUUUAAUCUGGAGGCUGUGGGUUCGAUCCCCACGUGGAAUG